AAUCUGCGACACAACCCUUUUGGCUCCACCCCGUCGAUUUCACGUGGAAUUUACGAAUAAGGCGUGACGACAUGCUCGUGUCUGACGGCCAUCCUAUAGGAACGAGUAUGAGACUAACAGUUCUCGAAUGCAUGGCAUCUCCUGUCAGUGAGUAAAGGGUGUUCAGCCAACCAGGUCGACGUACAUCCGAAACUCUGAAGAGAUAACUUAACUAAUACAUAUUGAGAAGAUACAACUAGAACUGAAGACUGGGGGCACGUGUGGGUGAACUAAAGAAUGUGGACUGUUUGUUCAUGAACAAGUUGGCAGCAUCACUAUAUAGGCUUCUGGACUCUUUAGCCAUACUGGUGGUCUGUCAUCAGGGCUAAGGACCAGCCUGUUAAUUAUGUUACUAUUCCCUAGGUACAAAACGAAAACUUAUCCUUAGAUGGAAACCAUAAUUACUUUUAUCAAGUAUAACGGUCGUGUUAAGACGGGCAGCUCUGUGUUAAAAGUUGAGAGAUUUAUUACUUGACAGUCUUAUAACGGAACCUUUAGCAAUGAAAACUAUUUUCAAAACGCACAGUAGUCUUUAUGAGCAUGGUCGGACGUGUAACGACAUGUUGAGGCUCCCAAAUCGUUUAAUUUAACGUAUUUAACCUUUGUAUCAUUUGACAGUAACUGUUAGAAGAAAUAAACGUGUUUCUUUAACAA